rnacentral:rRNA from 1 species
UACAGAGGGGGCAAGCGUUGUUCGGAAUUACUGGGCGUAAAGGGCGCGUAGGCGGCCUGUUAAGUCGAACGUGAAAUCCCCGGGCUCAACCCGGGAACUGCGUCCGAUACUGGCAGGCUUGAAUCCGGGAGAGGGAUGCAGAAUUCCAGGUGUAGCGGUGAAAUGCGUAGAUAUCUGGAGGAAUACCGGUGGCGAAGGCGGCAUCCUGGACCGGCAUUGACGCUGAGGAGCGAAAGCCAGGGGAGCAAGCGGG